UACGUAGGGUGCAAGCGUUAAUCGGAAUUACUGGGCGUAAAGGGUGCGUAGGCGGGUUCUUAAGUCAGAGGUGAAAUCCUGGAGCUCAACUCCAGAACUGCCUUUGAUACUGAGAGUCUUGAGUAUGACAGAGGUGAGUGGAACUGCGAGUGUAGAGGUGAAAUUCGUAGAUAUUCGCAAGAACACCAGUGGCGAAGGCGGCUCACUGGGUCAUUACUGACGCUGAGGCACGAAAGCGUGGGGAGCAAACAGG
rnacentral:rRNA from 1 species